UGGUCUAUCCAUCUAUGUUUAAUUAAUUUUAAAUUAACUUUGUAAUACAGUGAUGUGUACACAUUUAUAUUGAUUAUAUUGUCUAUCAAUAUCUAAGCUAUAUAUUAUUGUGUGUACGUUAUAUCGGCUGUUAAGUCGUGACGUAACACCCUUUCAAAAUAAAACUUCCGGGUCCAACCGCUCCGUCGAACAUAAAAACAAACCACAAUGGCUGAACCAGUGAAUCUUUUUACGAUUACUUCUUUCUUCAGUGAGACACCUGAAAGAGUAAAGAAAGGGUUGAAUUCGUUUCACUCCAACAGAGUGGUCAGUGUAGCUGUUUCGCCUCGGGGAGUUAUCAAGGGUAGCGUCCGGUCCAGGCAUCACAGAAAAAGAAAGUUUACGAGGUUGAGGUUCAUGCUGAGGGACAGACAGUGAAGUACAGCAGCUGCCAGUGCCCGAUCGGUCGGGACAAGUGCCACCAUAUGGCGGCAGUGCUCAUAUGGGUGGAGAAAAAUGUGUCCCGCACCGACGUAGAGUGUGCUUGGAAGAGGGCGAAGACACCGAGCACCGACCAGAUAGCAGCAAAGAGAGUGUCUGAGAUGACACCAUCCACAACACAAGCUGGAAUCAAAAGGCCUGUUACUCAGGAAGACAAAGACUGGGUGCAAGCAACCCUGUCCCAGCUUGGACGUUUAACGGGAUUGGAUGGAUUCUGUGUCCAGAAACUCCUCGGGUAAGACUUAUGUGUUAGGUGGUUUGUUUAGGGAUGGAAUGAUACACUGAACUCACAAUUUAAUUCGAUUCGCGAUAUAGAGUUCACAAUCCAUAUGUCCACCUUACUGAAAGGUAAUUGUCUAGAAAGGAAUUAAAGUAUGUGCAUUCCUAAAACUGUUUACUUUACUUUGAAUCUAGACUCUCCCUAUCAAGACAUUUGAGGGGUUAGUGACCAACCCCGACUACGCUGAAGCUGAGGACAAGGCUCUUCAUUUGCUGUCAUCAUUUGUGGUCACCAAUAGGGAGAAGCAGCAGAUCGAAAGAGCCACUGUUGGGCAAGCAAAGAAUGCAUUAUGGUCAGCAUAUCGGCAAAAAAGGAUCACAGCAAGCAACUUUGGUUUGGUGUUGGCAGCAGUCAAGCGGAAGUCCUACCCUCCAUCCUUAUUUAAAACACUGCUUGGCCAGUACAACCUCAAACAAGGAUCGAAAGCAUGUGAUUGGGGAAUUCUCCAUGAGCCAAGAGCAAAGCAGCAGUAUACGGAGAGCACUGGUGUCGUUAUCCAGGAGAGCGGUUUGUUCCUUUCGGACAGUGGUAUGCUUGGUGGAUCUCCAGAUGGGGCAGUGUCUGACAACUGCAUUGUGGAAGUGAAAUGUCCAUGGUCAGCCAGAACAAAGACUAUCCGACAGGCAGCAGAGAGUAGGGACUUUUAUCUUUACUUGGACGAAGUAACUGAUACCCUGACACUAAAACCGACACAACUAUUGGCAUCAAAUCCAGGGCAACCUACAUCUGACUGGAACUAGCAGCUGUCACCUAAUUGUAUGGACUCCUUUGGAUCUUGUCAUCCUUCCCAUCCUCAAAGACCCAUUAUGGGUUAUCAACACUCUGGAGACAUUUUAUAAAGAGUGUUUCCUUCCAUAUGUUCUGUCAAGUCAACCAUCACAUAUAGAGCAAUGACGGGUUCAUUAAUGAUUUGUAGUUCUAAAUUUGUAUAGAGAUUAAUUAAUAAUUUGUAAAUAGUACGUACAUUUUAUCUACAUUUUCACUACUGAAGCUUAAUUUGAUGCUUAUGUACAGUUAUGAUAAAUUAAGUAACACAAUAUGUUUGACAAAUAAAAUGUUUAU